CCACAUAAUCAAGACACUGUCCUAAAAGCUCGUUAUUUCAAAUUCUGAUAGUCGGUGCCGUUCUUAGAAGGAAUCACGUCCUCCACCACCACCAUAAUCACGUCCUCCACCACCACCAUAGCCGCCACCACCGCCAUAGCCGCCGCCACCACCUCCAUAGCCACCGCCACCACCAGCACGGAAGCCACCGCCACCAGAAGGUCUCUCAUUGGCAAAGUUCACACGGACGUUCCUUCCCCCAAGCUCCUGCAAGUAUUGGAAGGGCAUUAGAUCCAGUAGAAGGCAGUGAAGCAUAAGCAUAGAUAUCAGAUGUAGGCAAUUGGCUGAAGGCAGGCACUGAACAUUGAAGCAAUAAUUAACAUGGUGAACCCUAUCAAACCCUAAUCAGCAUCUAAUUGGUAGAGAAGUAAACUAUAUUCUGAAGUAGAAGAGCCCAAGUGUCUGGGAAUCU
rnacentral:lncRNA from 1 species